UACAGAGGGGGCAAGCGUUGUUCGGAAUUACUGGGCGUAAAGGGCGCGUAGGCGGCCUGCUAAGUCGAACGUGAAAUCCCCGGGCUCAACCCGGGAACUGCGUCCGAUACUGGCAGGCUUGAAUCCGGGAGAGGGAUGCGGAAUCCCAGGUGUAGCGGUGAAAUGCGUAGAUAUCUGGAGGAACACCGGUGGCGAAGGCGGCAUCCUGGACCGGCAUUGACGCUGAGGCGCGAAAGCCAGGGGAGCAAGCGGG
rnacentral:rRNA from 1 species